rnacentral:rRNA from 1 species
UACGUAGGGUGCAAGCGUUGUUCGGAUUCAUUGGGCGUAAAGGGUGCGUAGGCGGCGCGGUAAGUCGGGUGUGAAAUCUUGGAGCUUAACUCCGAAACUGCAUUCGAUACUGCCGUGCUUGAGGACUGGAGAGGAGACUGGAAUUUACGGUGUAGCGGUGAAAUGCGUAGAUAUCGUAAGGAAGACCAGUGGCGAAGGCGGGUCUCUGGACAGUUCCUGACGCUGAGGCACGAAGGUCAGGGGAGCAAACGGG